rnacentral:tRNA from 1 species
GCCUUCGUCGUGUAGUGGUUCUGCACGCUGGGCCGGAAUUCCAGAGGUCCGUGGUUCGAUUCCCGGCGAAGGCG